rnacentral:rRNA from 1 species
AGAGUUUGAUCCUGGCUCAGGAUGAACGCUGGCGGCAUGCCUAAUACAUGCAAGUCGAACGAGAGGAAGGAAAGCUUGCUUUCCUGAAUCUAGUGGCGAACGGGUGAGUAACACGUAGGUAACCUGCCCAUGUGCCCGGGAUAACUUCUGGAAACGGAUGCUAAAACCGGAUAGGUAGCAGACAAGCAUUUGACUGCUAUUAAAGUGGCUUUGGCCAUGAACAUGGAUGGACCUGCGGUGCAUUAGCUGGUUGGUGAGGUAACGGCCCACCAAGGCGACGAUGCAUAGCCGGCCUGAGAGGGCGGACGGCCACAUUGGGACUGAGACACGGCCCAAACUCCUACGGGAGGCAGCAGUAGGGAAUUUUCGUCAAUGGGGGGAACCCUGAACGAGCAAUGCCGCGUGAGUGAGGAAGGUCUUCGGAUCGUAAAGCUCUGUUGUAAGAGAAAAACGGCACUCAUAGGGAAUGAUGAGUGAGUGAUGGUAUCUUACCAGAAAGUCACGGCUAACUACGUGCCAGCAGCCGCGGUAAUACGUAGGUGGCGAGCGUUAUCCGGAAUGAUUGGGCGUAAAGGGUGCGUAGGUGGCAGAUCAAGUCUGGAGUAAAAGGUAUGGGCUCAACCCGUACUGGCUCUGGAAACUGAUCAGCUAGAGAACAGAAGAGGACGGCGGAACUCCAUGUGUAGCGGUAAAAUGCGUAGAUAUAUGGAAGAACACCGGUGGCGAAGGCGGCCGUCUGGUCUGGAUUCUGACACUGAAGCACGAAAGCGUGGGGAGCAAAUAGGAUUAGAUACCCUAGUAGUCCACGCCGUAAACGAUGAGAACUAGGUGUUGGGGGAAUAACUCAGUGCCGCAGUUAACGCAGUAAGUUCUCCGCCUGGGGAGUAUGCACGCAAGUGUGAAACUCAAAGGAAUUGACGGGGGCCCGCACAAGCGGUGG